rnacentral:rRNA from 1 species
CGGGACACGUGGUAUCCUGUCUGAAUAUGGGGGGACCAUCCUCCAAGGCUAAAUACUCCUGACUGACCGAUAGUGAACCAGUACCGUGAGGGAAAGGCGAAAAGAACCCCGGCGAGGGGAGUGAAAAAGAACCUGAAACCGUGUACGUACAAGCAGUGGGAGCCUCUUUAUGGGGUGACUGCGUACCUUUUGUAUAAUGGGUCAGCGACUUAUAUUCUGUAGCAAGGUUAACCGAAUAGGGGAGCCGAAGGGAAACCGAGUCUUAACUGGGCGUUAAGUUGCAGGGUAUAGACCCGAAACCCGGUGAUCUAGCCAUGGGCAGGUUGAAGGUUGGGUAACACUAACUGGAGGACCGAACCGACUAAUGUUGAAAAAUUAGCGGAUGACUUGUGGCUGGGGGUGAAAGGCCAAUCAAACCGGGAGAUAGCUGGUUCUCCCCGAAAGCUAUUUAGGUAGCGCCUCGUGAAUUCAUCUCCGGGGGUAGAGCACUGUUUCGGCAAGGGGGUCAUCCCGACUUACCAACCCGAUGCAAACUGCGAAUACCGGAGAAUGUUAUCACGGGAGACACACGGCGGGUGCUAACGUCCGUCGUGAAGAGGGAAACAACCCAGACCGCCAGCUAAGGUCCCAAAGUCAUGGUUAAGUGGGAAACGAUGUGGGAAGGCCCAGACAGCCAGGAUGUUGGCUUAGAAGCAGCCAUCAUUUAAAGAAAGCGUAAUAGCUCACUGGUCGAGUCGGCCUGCGCGGAAGAUGUAACGGGGCUAAACCAUGCACCGAAGCUGCGGCAGCGACGCUUAUGCGUUGUUGGGUAGGGGAGCGUUCUGUAAGCCUGUGAAGGUGUGCUGUGAGGCAUGCUGGAGGUAUCAGAAGUGCGAAUGCUGACAUAAGUAACGAUAAAGCGGGUGAAAAGCCCGCUCGCCGGAAGACCAAGGGUUCCUGUCCAACGUUAAUCGGGGCAGGGUGAGUCGACCCCUAAGGCGAGGCCGAAAGGCGUAGUCGAUGGGAAACAGGUUAAUAUUCCUGUACUUGGUGUUACUGCGAAGGGGGGACGGAGAAGGCUAUGUUGGCCGGGCGACGGUUGUCCCGGUUUAAGCGUGUAGGCUGGUUUUCCAGGCAAAUCCGGAAAAUCAAGGCUGAGGCGUGAUGACGAGGCACUACGGUGCUGAAGCAACAAAUGCCCUGCUUCCAGGAAAA